rnacentral:ncRNA from 1 species
CCCUAAAGUAGAGGCGCGCUGCCUAAAAGUAUCCGAGCGGAGGGUGAUUCCGAUGAUGCCGGGGAAAGGAGUCAGCGCCGAAGUGACUGUUGCUAUCAAUCUCAGUCGCUGGGUCUGUGUCGAAUAGGUACAGAACUGCCAUAGAUUAUUACUAUGGAGCGCUACCUGAAGG